rnacentral:rRNA from 1 species
ACGAACGCUGGCGGCGUGCCUAAUACAUGCAAGUAGAACGCUGAAGAGAGGAGCUUGCUCUUCUUGGAUGAGUUGCGAACGGGUGAGUAACGCGUAGGUAACCUGCCUGGUAGCGGGGGAUAACUAUUGGAAACGAUAGCUAAUACCGCAUAAAAUUGAUUAUUGCAUGAUAAUUAAUUGAAAGAUGCAACUGCAUCACUACCAGAUGGACCUGCGUUGUAUUAGCUAGUUGGUGAGGUAACGGCUCACCAAGGCGACGAUACAUAGCCGACCUGAGAGGGUGAUCGGCCACACUGGGACUGAGACACGGCCCAGACUCCUACGGGAGGCAGCAGUAGGGAAUCUUCGGCAAUGGGGGGAACCCUGACCGAGCAACGCCGCGUGAGUGAAGAAGGUUUUCGGAUCGUAAAGCUCUGUUGUAAGAGAAGAACGGGUGUGAGAGUGGAAAGUUCACACUGUGACGGUAUCUUACCAGAAAGGGACGGCUAACUACGUG